CAAGCUGAUGACACAGCAACCUGGGAAACUCUUCCCUGUGGGAGAAGAAAGGCCCAGGGACAGCGGAGGACACUGAGGCUGGCAGGCAGAGGUCUCAGACACCAGCAUGAAGUGGAGUUGCAGGCACAGAGGCCAUUGCCCAAUUUUUAUUUUAGAUCUUCCUGGGCUUCCUUUCUUUGGGAAGGGUAGAUGUGUGCUGCUUGGUCUCCAGGAUGAACCCGUCACGCUCGCUUCCUGGCAUGUACCCGACUGUGCUUCUCAUGGGAGGAGCUCAGGCCUCCGUGUCACUGAGGAUGGCUGUGGUGCCUUUCAGGACAUCCCUGGUCUUUGUUGUGAGUGUGACUUCUCGGCUCCAGUGUAGAACCCUCAACCUACCAGCAAACCUCGCUGGCAUGGACUUUCUGGCUUCUACCGCUGACCUUUGGGCCUUUCCAGGCUCUGAUCUGUAAAACAUAUUGGUGUGAGUCGUUGUGGGCUCUAGACCUCCAGUUGGACUCAUGGGAGGCACUGUCAGGGACUCUAGGUUUUCAUCUGGACUCAUGCAGGACAUUGCUGUGGGAUUCAGGACCUUGGCUGAAUAUUCUAUGUCUUUGGUGUUGUGGAUAGAUUUCCUGCACUAAUGCUUUUUCUGGGUGACCAUCAUAAAAUAAUAUUAUAAAUUCCAUGUCCUGAUUUUAACUGUUCUCCUCACAACCCCUGACUACAACAAGGGAUAAAAGAAGAUCAGGCUCCUAAGACCUUGACCAAACCCCAGUCUCAUGCUGAGAGCACAGGAGGGUAAUGUUACACACAGGAAAGUGAAGUUACUACAGGCAGCUAAGUUUGAUAGAAAUCAGUGGGGGACUGAACACUCAAGGAAGACAGCAGAAAACACGAAGGCUUUAGAACCCGGGCUGGAGGUGCACCUGUUGAAGGCCAGGCCUCAAGAUAGAGAUGUAGGGCUGGGGAUUUAGCUCAGCAGCAUAAACGCCUGCCUUGCAAGUGCAUGGUCGUGAGUUCAAUGCCCAGUACCAAAAAAAAAAAAAAAAAGAUAGAGAUGUAAAGGCCCACACAUCUCCCUAAGGAUAAGCAGGAACUUGGAACUAUAAUUGGUAUCUCCUGGUCCAGUGAAGUCCAGAUAAGAUAUCAACCACCGAGCAGGUGACCAAAGCACCCAAACCCAUUCCUUCCCAAAAAUGCUCCUUCCACAUACCUGCCCUACUGAGUGGCUAUACUUAACAUCUUAUUGGUUGGUUACAGUUUAACCCACACUAUACCCCACCUUAUGAUUUGGCUGUAUAAAACAUUCCUAGAUACACUCAUCAGUAACCAAUACACUAACACAGUUCCUACAGAAAUGACCUUGGUGCCAGCUUGCUUUCAGGUCCCCUCCUGUUGCUCAGCAGCUAUCUCUCAAUAAAG
rnacentral:lncRNA from 1 species